rnacentral:rRNA from 1 species
GAUCAUGGCUCAGAGUGAACGCUGGCGGCAGGCCUAAUACAUGCAAGUCGAACGGCAGCACAGCAGAGCUUGCUCUGUGGGUGGCGAGUGGCGGACGGGUGAGGAAUACGUGGGAAUCUGCCCAGUCGUGGGGAUAACGUAGGGAAACUUACGCUAAUACCGCAUGCGCCCUUCGGGGGAAAGCCGGGGACCUUCGGGCCUGGCGCGAUUGGAUGAGCCCACGUCGGAUUAGCUAGUUGGCGGGGUAAAGGCCCACCAAGGCGACGAUCCGUAGCUGGUCUGAGAGGAUGAUCAGCCACACUGGAACUGAGACACGGUCCAGACUCCUACGGGAGGCAGCAGUAGGGAAUAUUGGACAAUGGGCGCAAGCCUGAUCCAGCCAUGCCGCGUGAGUGAAGAAGGCCCUCGGGUUGUAAAGCUCUUUUGUCCGGAAAGAAAAGCGCCGGGUUAAUACCCUGGUGUCCUGACGGUACCGGAAGAAUAAGCACCGGCUAACUUCGUG